UGUUGCCAGCCUCUGCUCACCUGCCCCAACCACCCUGGGCAUGUUUUCCAGAAGACGAAGUUAAGAAAGUCUGUUUUAGAACAUCUACUUUGCAAGUAGAAGGUCUAAGGUUCAACCCCUGGCAUCUCCAGCUUCUCUGAGCUUCCCUGGAUGCUAUCCGUGCAAGGACUCCUUCCCAGGUCCUGCCUCCUGAGCAGAAGCUUGUAACUUUUUAACAAGCAUCAUUCCACCGAGAGGAAGGGAGAGCUGCAGAACACAGGUCCGGGAGAAGGCAGAAAUGACUCGGUUUCGGGGACCAGCCUUCCUACCCGACUCCCAUGGAGAAGAUUCCCAGCUGUUCCUUCAACUUUUGAUUUGGAGCCGGUUGGAAUUAUCCUAGGGGAUCCAUAGAAAGAACAGCUGAAUUAUAUUCCCGUUUCCCUAAAACCA